rnacentral:lncRNA from 1 species
UCUGGUCUUCUCAGCUUGCCUCUCCUGGUGUGGAACCUCUGCUUUAUGAAUGAGCCAGGGUGAGAGUAGUUGGGGACCCAGGAUUUGUCAGCUUGAGAUACAUGGAAUGUUGGUUUUUUGAGACUUUGCACAUCUGAAAAUGUCUUUCUUCUAUCCCUGUCCUUGAUUGGCUUUUAGGUUAGGUAUAGAAUUCUGGCCUGGAAAUUAUUUUCCUUCAGAAUUUGAAGGCUUUACUCUAUUACCUUCUGGCUUUCAGUAUUGCUACCAGAAGGAAGCUGUUCUGUAUUCCUAAUCUUUUAAAUGUGGAAGUA